UUCAGUACACAUGUGUACUCAGAGCUACCACCAAUGAUUUCAGCAAUAUUUCAAUUUUAACUGUGCAUUUGUGAGGAAAGAAGAGGAUGUUCUUUUGGCUCUGAAUCUUCCAAGUCUACGCAGAGCUUUGGAUCUCUUGGCAGGAAGAUGUGCAUUUUUCAGGGGUCACAUAUUGAAAUUGUCAGUAGAAAAUCUGCCCUCUAAAACAAGAAAUUAAAAAAAGUUUUGGGGUUUUUAAAAAGUUUUUUUCUUUAUAAAUAGAAGGAAAGUGCAGGCUUCAGAGCUUGAGAACCGAGAUCAGACACACACUAGGAAGCAUGGCCUUUUCAGUUAUUUAUUGGGUUGCAUUUCUCAUUUGUAGUGCUUGAUGGUUGAUCUUUAUGAACUCCUUCCUCUCCUCCCACUGUCUUUCUUCAUCUGCCCUUUAUACAGCUUGAAUACUUGGGAGAGCAGCUGGAUUAACAUCUCUAGAGAUCGUAGGGAGAAAUGAACAUGUGCGUUUGAUGGCUCCAGCAGCUGAGAGUCUGAUGCAAACUCCACUGAAAGUCAUGGAAGGAAAGAAAGAAUCAAAGUGUGAACAUGAACCAACAGUGAGGGAAACAAAGACAAUAAGCUUGAUUGUGGGUCUGCCUGCAGCCCAGAACCCCACCCUGGGAAAAAGUCUAACAGCAAAACUCUCUUCAAUGAGACCAAAAGUUGUAACCUCCAAUGGUUCAAUUUGAAAAAUGUAAUCUAAA